rnacentral:rRNA from 1 species
UACGUAGGGCGCAAGCGUUGUCCGGAAUUAUUGGGCGUAAAGAGCUCGUAGGCGGCUUGUCACGUCGGGUGUGAAAGCCCGGGGCUCAACCCCGGGCCUGCAGCCGAUACGGGCAAACUAGAAUUCGGUAGGGGAGACUGGAAUUCCUGGUGUAGCGGUGAAAUGCGCAGAUAUCAGGAGGAACACCGGUGGCGAAGGCGGGUCUCUGGGCCGAUAUUGACGCUGAGGAGCGAAAGCGUGGGGAGCAAACAGG